UGAAGCGGUAACAGCUCAAAUUUGAAAGCUAGCUCUUUUAGGGUUCGCAUUGUAAUUUGUAGAAGAUGCUUCGGGUGUGGCCCCGGUCUAAGUUCCUUGGAACAGGACGUCAUAGAGGGUGAGAAUCCCGUAUGUGACUGGGUGCUUUCGCUCAUGUGAAGCUCUUUCGACGAGUCGAGUUGUUUGGGAAUGCAGCUCAAAAUGGGUGGUAAAUUUCAUCUAAAGCUAAAUAUUGGCCAGAGACCGAUAGCGCACAAGUAGAGUGAUCGAAAGAUGAAAAGCACUUUGGAAAGAGAGUUAAACAGUACGUGAAAUUGUUGAAAGGGAAGCGCUUGCAACCAGACUUGCGCGCUGAUGAUCAUCCGGGCUUCUGUCCGGUGCACUCGUCUGCGCUCAGGCCAGCAUCGGUUUCGGUGGUGGGAUAAAGGCCUUGGGAAUGUAGCUCCUCUCGGGGAGUGUUAUAGCCCUCGGUGCAAUGCCGCCUAUCGGGACCGAGGACCGCGCUUCGGCUAGGAUGCUGGCGUAAUGGUUGUAAGCGACCCGUCUUGAAACACGGACCAAGGAGUCUAACAUCUAUGCGAGUGUUUGGGUGUCAAACCCAUACGCGUAAUGAAAGUGAACGGAGGUGAGAACCCUUAAGGGUGCAUCAUCGACCGGUCCUGAUGUCUUCGGAUGGAUCUGAGUAAGAGCAUAGCUGUUGGGACCCGAAAGAUGGUGAACUAUGCGUGAAUAGGGUGAAGCCAGAGGAAACUCUGGUGGAGGCUCGCAGCGGUUCUGACGUGCAAAUCGAUCGU
rnacentral:rRNA from 1 species